rnacentral:sRNA from 1 species
CAACCAAUCGAAUCGCUCGUUACAUAUCUGCCGUAUUUUAAAAAAAGAUCAAGUGGGAAAUUCGAACCACGUUGGUUAAUAUAAAACAGAAAUAGUUGGGUCACAGUAAAAAUAGAAGAAAGAAAUAUUUCACAGUGAACUAUUUGCAGUUUGAUGAGUUUGACUGGAAAUAUUUCACUUUUUUCAACAAGUGAUGGAAGCUUGUGGAAUUUUAAUUGAUCUAAGCGAGCCCAUAGACAACAGCCCAUUAAAGCCAGCCCACAGUAAAAGCCCACCUCUCUGUGAGGAAUCAAGGAAAAGCCCUGAUGCUACAGACAGCCAGAGGAAAUCUGAAGACAGCCAGGACUCACUAGCUGAUUCCAUAGAAAUAGAGAGAAGUUGUGACAGAAGAGGAAGCUACACCAUUGACAGGUCUCAGCUUCUACAGGAUCUAAGUGAGAUCACUGCCGAGAGUGACAGUGACCAGACCAGACAUAUCCCCCCGGCAGGAGGUAUUCAACUUUUGGAAGAUGAAGAAUUUGACUUUGACCUCCCCGUUUCCCCUGCUGUUAGAGUCCUCAGUUCCCCCACAGCUGUGGAUGAAGACGAUGAAGAAGUUUUUAUUGGACCGAUAGGAUUCACUGAGAAGUGUGUGGCCACAGUGGUGUCAGAAAUUGCUCCCCUUCAGGAGCCCCUCAAACCUCUCAGCCCCCUGAAGCCCCACCAGAUAGCCGAGAUCUUCAAGGAGGCCCAGCUGGUGGUGUAUAGGAUAAACAAUGAGGAGAAGGACGAAGAAGGAAAGGGGCCUAAACGGGAAUCCUUAGGCAGGAGGGGAAGAGCCCAGACCCCGGUCAAGCACCAGAGAAAGGGAACUUUCACAGAGAGCCCAGACGCAUUUAUUCGACUUCCAGAGAGUGUUGUCAAAGCCAUGCCUGUGAUAGACAUUGAAAUCAAUGAUCCUUUCGAGACAAAAGUAGAGGAGAACAAGGAAAAUUCCCAUAACACGGUCACCAGUAGGCUGGCUGCUCCCAAGAGCAGAACCCUGCCAGGAACAACACAGUCUUGCAAGGGACAGAGUGGAAGUGGCCACUGUAUGAAUGAUGCUGCAGUUAGCGACACUGAUGACUGCUGCAGUGUGACCUCGGACACCAGCGAGAGUUCCCUCUCCCGCCUCCCUGUGAACAGACCCGGAGUAGCCAAGUCCAAGGUUUUGACUGGUAAAACUGGACUGAAGAGACCUUCCAUGCUAAAACCUCCUGGUGCCAACAAAUCUAAUGAAAAUCUGUCGACCAGUAUCAAUUCAGCCUCAAAAACAACAAGCAGUACCUCAGUUAGCUCAAAGAUAGUUCCUCCUGCCAAGUCACGCAGAAGCUUGAAUACUAGCAGCAGAAAGUCUUUAGGGCUAAACACUUCAGGGAUACCAAACAGUUGUAAACCGGCUGGCAAUAUUACCAGCAAGGAGACAGAAGGUCUGAACAGAAAGGGUCCCACAACCAGGCUAAGUCUGGUGAAACCUGGCACCAUUCAGAAACCAGUCAUCAAAGCACAGCAGCAGACGACCGAGAGUAAAGGUAGAACAGGUCCACUGAAGGCUCUACCCAUCACCUCAAACAUCCCAGAGAAAGCUGGAACAGUAAAACCUGCCCUGACCAAACAGAUGUUGCUGAAUCCUGAAGUCUGUACCCCAGUGAAAGCGGACAAAAAAGUCCAACCCAAACUUUUGUCCACCAACUUCACAACGCCAGUCAGAUCUAAUUCUGUUAGUUCCUGUACCCCUGCGUCUGCUCGCAGAAAAUCCUGUCUGCCGACUCCUCAGAAAACACGUUGCGGCUCCACCAGCUCUAUACCACAGCCCAGCCCAGUGGUCAGGCCCAGUGGUAACUCCACCCACAGACCCAGCAGUAGCUCCACCCACAGGCACAGUGUGUCAGAGUCCCCAUUCGUCAAUCGCAGUCUGAAAUUCCAAAAACUAGGCACUCCAUCGCGGGAAAAACCAGUCCUAUAAAAUCCAUUCCCAAGAAAUCAGCGGUUCGGGGCAUUUAUCAGGGUCGCAGAAGUCUGGCAGUGUACAAGACUACAGCAAAGUAACAAGAUGGCGGCAAAGUAACCAGACUACAGAGGGGGACUAGCCAACCAGUUAUCAGUUGUACAUGUCCAAUGAGAAAAGGGAGGCAUUCUUUGAACAGAGAUGGAAAUAUCAAUGUUUUACAUGAAUUAAUGUUGGAUGAAUUUUUAAUGUUUAUAAGAAAAUUUCAACUGACUUCAUUUUUAAUUAUCAUGUGUUUUCCAUUUAAAUUGUGUACCGUAAUUAUAAUUGUACAAAGCCCUAUUCAUUUUAGUUAAUUGUAAGUUAUAUUUUUUGUACACAUGAUAAUAAUUAUUCAUUGUUUGAUCACACCAUUCAUGAACAAGUGAAACAAUGGAUUGUGUCAAUCCAAGUGUCGUAGACCAUCUUAACCUUGCCUAUAUGAAGGGAGCUGCAUACUCAUCUUAAUUCUGUCAGUUAUGAUCGUCAACAUAACUCAAUAGGCCAUUUUACUUCUACUAGUUGUUUUUUUUUUCCAAGUCCAACUGACCAAAAUUUUCAAGAAUUUGAAAUAAAAUAAUAUUUUCAAGAUUUUGAAAUAAAAU